AUGGGAUUUUAAGUCAUGGAAAGAAGAUUG
rnacentral:piRNA from 1 species